CCUAAAAUUAUUGACUGUAGUGUAGGAAAGACAAGAAUAAAACCAACACCUGCACUGCCCAAGUAAUUACCUAGCCAGUUGUUUACCUUCAAUAUUAAUCUAUAUAAAAUAAAACCUCGUGCUAUAUACAAAUGAGUUAGUAGGUGGCAUAAUCUUUUUAUUUAUUAUGCUCGUUCUCACGCUAAAACGUAUUCUCGUAAAUAAUCUUACAGGCAAUGGCAUUGCCUUAUGAUGAUGAUGAAGGAAGAAAAUGAAAGAAAAGGAAUUAUGGAUACCAUACCACCCAGGAAGAUGACAGGGACAAGUUCACAUGAGCCCAACCAGAUAAUUAAUGGGCCCCCCUAUCCCAACCUCAACCCCUACUACUCCUAUAUACUUAUUUCCCUACAUAUAAAGUCUCUCUCUCUAGAGGGAAGCAAGCAUAUUUAUUGAAGAAUUGCUUUAACUUGAGAACCUUCCAUGGAGGUAUCUAGCACUUUUUCAGAAUUUUCCUUGUAUAAUAAUACCCCCAACCCUGUCUCUUAUUCUCUCUCUAUCUCCAUCUCUCUCUCAUUUUUUCUCUCUCUGAUCCGUAAAGGCUAAAGUUCAAGAAAAUGAAGCAGCAGAAGAACUAAACCACCUUGUUUCCUGAGUGAUCAUUUUCCACGUAGAUCGAUUAGCUAGUUGCAUUAUUAUACAUCAAUUGGAGACUCACAUGCAUAAUGAUUGAAAGAAGGCAAGAGAUCUGGUUUUUCUCAGUUACAAACUAGUGAAUCGGAGCUUGUACCGGAUAAAUUUGUACUGCGAUAAAGAAGAUUGAGUAGCAGAAGCUGUUUCUAGCUGCGAAACAACUAAUUAGGCGGGGAAGGAAGAGGCGAGAAUGAUGAUGAUAGAUAACAACGGCGGGGAGAACGAUGUGGAUGAAGUGAUAAUCGAAGGGAGGAGAAGAGAUGGACAUGUGAUAGUGGAGAAGGAGCAUAUGUUUGAUAAAGUGGUGACUCCAAGCGACGUUGGGAAGCUGAAUCGGUUAGUGAUCCCCAAACAGCAUGCUGAGAAGUACUUUCCUCUCGACUCAUCAACAAACGAGAAAGGCCUUCUGUUGAAUUUUGAAGAUAGGAGCGGGAAGCAGUGGCGGUUCAGAUACUCAUACUGGAACAGUAGCCAAAGCUAUGUGAUGACUAAAGGCUGGAGUAGGUUUGUCAAGGAGAAGAAGCUGGAUGCCGGUGAUGUUGUGUCGUUUCAAAGAGGCAUGGGGGAAAUUGGGAGAGACCGGUUGUUUAUUGACUGGAGACGACGCCCUGAUGCCCCCUCUUCCUCCGCCUCUAGCCACUACCACCACCUGCUGGGAACCGGUCUAGUUCCAUCAGCUAGUAGCCUGGCUCUGCAGCCUCAGUAUUACUCCAGCUUUCAACGCGCUUCGAAUGCUCCAUGGAGUCCAAGCUUGUUCUUGCAACAGCAACAGCAGCAGCCUUUAUCUUCCACCCCUCAGUACUAUCCUAAUUAUCCUCAUAAUUACCGGGACCAAUAUUCCUCCCACUUGUUGCUGCCUCCUCCACCAAAUGUCACUGGUCAUCAUAAUCCACAUUCACAUUUUUAUCACCCUACUAAUUACAUGAGUGCCACUCGCAGUACGGCUCAUCAUCAUCCUCUCGUAAGCCCAGCUGGUCCUUGUUCAGGCUCGGUAAUUUAUUACAACAGGUCUGCACCAUUCUCACAAGAGCAGGAGCAACAACACGAAGAAGAUGUUGAAAUGGCGCAAGCUCAAAGAGCAGGUUGGGGGGAAUUUGAACCGAAUGUGGUAUUCGAGUCAGUGCCAGUAGUACAUGGAAAAACUGCACCCAAAAGACUCAGGCUAUUCGGAGUGAACAUGGAAUGUCCAAUUAAUACCUCCGGUUCUUCCAAUUCAGACGAUAAUAUUAUUGUUGAAUGUGACAACAACAUGACAAUAUUGUCUUCUUCCUCAACCGCCAGUGCGAUGAACAUUCCCAAUAUAAGAACAUCCCAAGGCCCCUACCCUUAUAAUUUUUGUUCGUCUGCUCCUCCACAGCCUCUUCCCCCUCUUAUGAGCAACCCUUAUGAUACUUCUUCAUCCAAUAUUCCUUAUGUUCAAUUAAGUCCUCAGACCGCUACCACCAGUACAACAUCUACCCUCCAUGACUUGAUGAACAAAGGAAAAAUGUCCAUGUCCUUUGAUAGAAAUGAAGGACACAGCUGAAAUUCAACAAUGCCAUACUUACUAUCGCGGUUCGGUUCAGAUUGAAGGUGCACAUACAGGCCAAAAAUGGACGUAACCUGCGAUCAUAAAGUGAUGGUUGUGGGAUUGACCUUGAUCGCUAUUGUACUCGGUACUUUCUGUACAGUUAGUUUGUUGUCUUAAUUUGACUAAAGAUUAAAGUUAGCUGGGAUAUUGGGGCCAUUUGAAU